AUGCUCCAAAGCCAGUUCCAGAGUGCCCGGGGCGUUCGAGGAGCCAGUCAACCGGCUCCCCGCUGCAGCCGGCUCGUCCCUCUCUGGGAACAACCCAGAGAGAGGUGCGUGCGGAGGUGGGCAUCGCAUCUCGCAUCCAUAACUGUUGCUGGCGCAUUUCCUCCAAGUCUUACCUCGAAGGGGCGUCUCCCCGUUUCCCCACGUCCUCCUUGCCUGGCUGCUUCGAGACUUUGCAGGCGAAAGACUGGCGCCGGGUCCGCCCUCGUCCGUGCCACUGGAAAACCCCGGGGACCUCCCAGACGCAGCGCAUUUCCCGGAAACCGCCUUUCCAAGCAGGUUGCGGGAAGGCCGGGACUCUACAGCCAGACACCCGGUCGCAUCCCAAGAAGAGGGUCGGGGCUGCGGGAGCCGCCCCUGCGGAACCCGCGAGUUGCGGCGGCUUCACGAAUAUUCUGGGGCUCAGAAGCCCAAGCGCUGCCGGAGGGCGCUCUGGGGGAGGCGACCGCAGAUAAAAGCCCGGCUGCGGCGGAAGCCCCAGGACGCGCCGGCCGGGCUGGGCCGGAGGAGGCGAGGCGAGCUAGCGGGUGGGACCGGCCAGGAAGCCCGGGCGGCGAGACAGACAGCCAACGCUCCCGCGGGACGCAAACCCGGGAGCCGCGCGUGCCGAGCGCUGUGCGCUCCGGAGAGGUUCCCCCAACGCUGCAGCCGCGGGGCCUCUCCAUCCGGCGCCCAUUGGUCCCCGCGGGGGCCUGGGAGCCUGGAGCGGGGCCGCAAGCUGAGACCCUGAACGCGCGGGGUGCCCGCGCCCAGACCGGCCGGGGAGGAGGCACAGCGCGGCGAGCCUGGGGACUCGGAGCCGGACUGGGAGCCUCCCAGCGGCGCAGCCUGCCCGAGCACUGGCGCCUGAGGCGGCCCCGCGCCGGCGGCGAAGGACGCGUCCCCAAGGGCAGACUGACUGACCGGCGGGCGGAACUGGAUCCAGUCCGCUACCCCGCUCUCCUGCCCCCGUCCCGGCCCGGCCCGGCCCGGAACCCGGUCCCCGGCGCCAUGGACAAGCUGCCGCCAUCCACUCGCAAGCCGCUCUCCAGCCUCCCGCAGCAGGUGGGGGCCAAGGCGUGCACCCUGGACGAGGAAGAGGACGCCGAGGAGGAGGGGGCCGGGGACCGCCACGACCCCAGCCGCAGGAACAUCCAGCUGCGGCCCCUGUGCCCUGCCCUCGCCCUCGACGGCCGCGGGUGA
rnacentral:lncRNA from 13 species